rnacentral:rRNA from 1 species
GUGCCAGCCGCCGCGGUAAUACGGGGGGUGCAAGUGUUAAUCGGAUUUACUGGGCGUAAAGCGCGCGUAGGUGGUUUGGUAAGUUGGAUGUGAAAGCCCUGGGCUUAACCUGGGAACUGCAUUCAAUACUGCCAGGACUAGAGUGUGGUAGAGGGAAGUGGAAUUCCGGGUGUAGCGGUGAAAUGCGUAGAUAUCCGGAGGAACACCAGUGGCGAAGGCGGCUUCCUGGACCAACACUGACGCUGAGGUGCGAAAGCGUGGGGAGCAAACAGGAUUAGAUACCCCUGUAGUCC